UUUGGUCACUCCCCGAUUAAAUGUGAUUAUAUAUUUUUUAUGUCACCGUCUCCAUUCUUCGACCGGCGGAGAGUGACGUGCGGCGACAAUGGAGGCGAUCGGCUAGCGUCAGCAGUGGCAGCGAUUGGCGAGCGGUGGUGACAACUAUUUUUCUCUUCUCUUUUCUUCUUCUCUUCUUAUUCUUCAUAGAAACACUGCUGUGCUUUGGAUUAUUGGACUGAGAUGCUUAUGCUCAUUGAGAUUUUCCGAGUCAAAGUUGCCACAAAACGAAGUGGAACAUGAGUGAUUGGUUGAAGCAUACUCUGUUAUAAACCAAAAACUGAAGCAUUCUCUUUCCGAACAGACUAAUUUGGAGAGGACCAUCCAGGAAUUGAAGGCUGAUUCGAGAAGGUGUGAACGAGACUACUCUAUAGCAUAGAAGGAGAUUGUUGAUCUCCAUAAACAGGUAACUAUCAUUAUAAAGGAAUGGAGAUGUACAACUUCGUUGUGGAUCUGUGGGUAAUGAUUAUGCUGAUUACAGUACCACUUUUCCUGUUGUUGAGUUAAAUGCUGACUCUGAUGUUGAAAACGUUACUUCUGAAAGGCUGCAUGACAUCCGUUACAGGUCUGAACAACAAUGAAUGUCAGAUAGCAAGAGGACAGGUACUGAACUGCAAUACAGGAUUGGACAGGACUUGCAAUUUUGUGAAGGAUGCGCACCAGUGGGUCCCACUUGGAGAAGUUGGUGCACGUGAGAUGACAGUUGCAGCAAGGGAGGGUUGCAGACAACUACGGGCCAUGUCUCCACAAGACAGGAGUAAAAUUUUGCGGAGCAUAGCUGAUGCCCUGGAAGAAAACGAAAGACUGAUCGCAAUAGAAAAUGAAGCUGAUGUUGCUGCUGCACGUCUGGCUGGCUAUGAACAAUCAUUGAUAGCUCGGCUGACUCUAAAGCCUGGAAAGAUUUCAAGUUUCGCAAACUCAAUUCGUGUGCUGGCAAACAUGGAAGAGCCAAUCGGUCGGGUUUUGAAGAAAACUAAGAUUGCAGACAGGUUCAUCUUAGAGAAGACAUCAUCUCCCUUGGGUGUUCUCCUGAUUAUUUUUUAGUCUUGUCCCGAGGCACUAGUUCAGGUAAACUGGGCUUGCAAGUUUUUGGACGAGGUUGAAGUUGAGCUGAUAAUAAAUACAUAACUAAAGACUGAAAAUUGAGAAUUUGCAUGCGUCUCCACAUAUGAAUGCUAGUCUGUCUAUGAAGUCAUGGAGGUCAGGAAUUGCUUGGAGAGAUGCAAAAUAUGGCCAAAGAAUUCAAGAACUUUGUGCUUGAAGUUUUUUCAUUUUUUAAUAUAUGUAAUCAUAGUUAAAAACUUUUUAUUAAUUCUUUUGUAUAUACCUUUUGAACAUUCAAUAUUUAUUACACAUACAAAAUGUGUGAUGGAAUCAUCUUUUAAUGAUUAAUGACA